GAUGAACGCUAGCGGGAGGCUUAACACAUGCAAGUCGAGGGGUAGGGAAGCAAUUCCUGAGACCGGCGGACGGGUGCGUAACGCGUAUGCAACCUGCCUUAUACAGGGGGAUAGCCCAUGGAAACGUGGAUUAACACCCCAUAGGAUUACGGGAUCGCAUGAUUUUGUGAUUAAAACUGAGGUGGUAUAAGAUGGGCAUGCGUCUGAUUAGGUAGUUGGUGAGGUAAUGGCUCACCAAGCCGACGAUCAGUAGGGGUUCUGAGAGGAUUACCCCCCACACUGGUACUGAGACACGGACCAGACUCCUACGGGAGGCAGCAGUGAGGAAUAUUGGUCAAUGGCCGGAAGGCUGAACCAGCCAUCCCGCGUGCAGGAUGACGGCCCUAUGGGUUGUAAACUGCUUUUGUACCUGAAGAAUAGGCCUGACGAGUCAGGAUUUGCCGGUAAGGUAUGAAUAAGCAUCGGCUAACUCCGUGCCAGCAGCCGCGGUAACAC
rnacentral:rRNA from 1 species